UGCAAGUCGAGCGAUGAAAUCUUAACAGAACCCUUCGGGGCGAAGAUAAGAGGGAUUAGCGGCGGACGGGUGAGUAACACGUGAGUAACCUGCCUUUUACACAGGGAUAGCCUCGGGAAACCGGGAUUAAAACCUGAUGAAACUAUCAAAUCACAUGAUUAAGAAAGUUAAAACUCCGGUGGUAAAAGAUGGACUCGCGUCCCAUUAGCUAGUUGGUGAAGGUAACGGCCCACCAAGGCAACGAUGGGUAGCCGGCCUGAGAGGGUGAACGGCCACAUUGGAACUGAGAAACGGUCCAAACUCCUACGGGAGGCAGCAGUGGGGAAUAUUGCACAAUGGGGGAAACCCUGAUGCAGCGACGCCGCGUGAGCGAAGAAGGCCUUCGGGUCGUAAAGCUCUUUUAUAUGGGAAGAUAAUGACGGUACCAUAAGAAAAAGCCCCGGCUAACUACGUGCCAGCAGCCGCGGUAAUACGUAGGGGGCUAGCGUUGUCCGGAAUCACUGGGCGUAAAGGGUUCGCAGGCGGCAAUGCAAGUCAGAUGUAAAAGGCAAAGGCUCAACCUUUGUAAGCAUCUGAAACUGUAUAGCUUGAGAAGUGUAGAGGCAAGUGGAAUUUUUAGUGUAGCGGUGAAAUGCGUAGAUAUUAAAAAGAAUACCGGUGGCGAAGGCGACUUGCUGGGCACAAUCUGACGCUGAGGAACGAAAGCGUGGGGAGCAAACAGGAUUAGAUACCCUGGUAGUCCACGCCGUAAACGAUGAGUGCUAGGUGUCGGUAUAAAUCGGUGCCGCAGUUAACACAAUAAGCACUCCGCCUGGGGAGUACGUGCGCAAGCAUGAAA
rnacentral:rRNA from 1 species